rnacentral:rRNA from 1 species
GACGAACGCUGGCGGCGUGCUUAACACAUGCAAGUCGAACGGAAAGGCCCUGCGUUUGUUGGGUGCUCGAGUGGCGAACGGGUGAGUAACACGUGAGUAACCUGCCCUUGACUUUGGGAUAACUUCAGGAAACUGGGGCUCAUACCGGAUAGGAGCUCCUGCUGCACGGUGGGCGUUGGAAAGUUUCGGCGGUUGUGGAUGGACUCGCGGCUUAUCCGCUUGUUGGUCGGGUAGUGGCUUACCAAGGCUGUGACGGGUAGCCGGCCUGGGAGGGUGACCGGCCACAUUGCGCCUGCGAUACGGCCCAGAAGGCUACGGGAGGCAGCGGUGGAGAGUAUUACACAGUGGGCGGAAGCGUGAGGCAGCAACGCCGCGUGCGGGAUGACGGCCUACGGGUUGUGAACCGCUGUGGCCUGUGACGAAGCGUGAGUGACGGUAAUGGGUAAAGAAGCACCGGCUAACUACGUG